UUUCCUUUAAGUUAUGUUUUAUGUGGUGGAAGAAAUCUGUUCUUAUCAGCUUAAUAUCUGUUACGUUCUGCUUCACAGGACUAGAAUACUAAACUCAUUUUUGGCUCACGAUGAAGUGCUCAAGGCAUGCUCUACCUCUGCUACAAGUUGUCUCCUCACUUUCUCUCGUAAGACAGCCAGAUGCCUU